AUACGGAGGAUGCGAGCGUUAUCCGGAUUUAUUGGGUCUAAAGGGAGCGUAGGUGGGAUAUUAAGUCAGCUGUGAAAGUUUGGGGCUCAACCUUAAAAUUGCAGUUGAUACUGGUUUCCUUGAGUACGGUACAGGUGGGCGGAAUUCGUGGUGUAGCGGUGAAAUGCUUAGAUAUCACGAAGAACUCCGAUCGCGAAGGCAGCUCACCGGGCCGGAACUGACACUGAUGCUCGAAAGUGCGGGUAUCAAACAGGAUUAGAUACCCUGGUAGUCCGCACAGUAAACGAUGAAUACUCGCUGUUUGCGAUACACUGUAAGCGGCCAAGCGAAAGCGUUAAGUAUUCCACCUGGGGAGUACGCCGGCAACGGUGAAACUUAAAGGAAUUGACGGGG
rnacentral:rRNA from 1 species